AACACUUCGACGCCUCUGUAUAGUAACUUUGGUCUGUUUACUUGUCUGAGUAUUGAUCUGCUCAAGAAGCGUUAUCAGCCUUUCUUCAGUUACCUUCUCAGCUAUCUGUCCCAUUUGAGCAGCUCUAAGGACGACAUCCUCCACUCCUCUCGCCUUUUCUGGUUUCACCAAAGCAAUUCGAGCAAGUCUCUCUCUUGCUUGUGCAGAGAGAAUCUGACUGAGCAUCAGCUGUCUGUUCUCUUCUGCCUCCCUUUUGGCUUCCUCCUGUGCUUUCUGCUGCCCUGCAUUCUGCUGAUUCCCAGCUCCG
rnacentral:misc_RNA from 1 species